GUCUAGGGCCACGCUAUCCUGAACACACCCGAUCUCUUCUGAUCUUGGAAGCUAAGUAGGGUUGGACCUGGUUAGUACUUGGAUGGGAGAUCGCCUAGGAAGACCAGGUGCUGUAGGCU
rnacentral:rRNA from 1 species